AGUGAACGCUGGCGGUAGGCCUAACACAUGCAAGUCGAACGGCAGCACAGUAAGAGCUUGCUCUUACGGGUGGCGAGUGGCGGACGGGGGAGGAAUACAUCGGAAUAUACUUUUUCGUGGGGGAUAACGUAGGGAAACUUACGCUAAUACCGCAUAAGACCUACGGGUGAAAGCAGGGGAUCUUUGGACCUUGCGCGAUGGAAUGAGCCGAUGUCGGAUUGGCUAGUUGGCGGGGUAAAGGCCCACCAAGGCGACGAUACGUAGUUGGUCUGAGAGGAUGCAGAGGCACGUCGGAGCUGAGAACCGGCCCCGCCUCCACUGGGAGGCAGCAGUGGCGCAUACUGGACACAGGGCGCAAGAAUGAUCCGGACAGACCGAGUGGGUGACGAAGGCAUUCGGGUUGUAAAGACAUUUUGUUGGGAAAGAAAACCAGUAGGUUAAUACACCGAUGUUCUGACGGUACCCAAAGAAUCAGCACCGGCUAACUUCGUG
rnacentral:rRNA from 1 species